rnacentral:lncRNA from 1 species
GCUUGGGGCCCUUCAGCUUCCCUUCUGGACCUUCAAGGCUCACAUCUGGGACUUCAACAUCCACCUUGGGUCCUGAGACAACAACAUCAGCCUUGGGCAAGUUCACAUCCACUUCUCGGCCCUCUCCUUUGAAGCCAGGCAUGCUAAACUUGGGCAUUUUCAUCUUGGGCAUCUUCAGGUGCCAGUCUGGGCCUUGAACCUCCACAUCUGGGACAUCAAUGUCCAUUUUGGCACUUUUAAGUUCAACAUCAGGAACUUUAAUCUCACUUUC